rnacentral:pre_miRNA from 1 species
ACACUGGGCAUGAUACAAAACUCACUGAAAUCAAUGGGAAUCUUUCCAUUGAUUUCAGUUGGCUUUGUAUCAGGCCUACUGAGA